CCCCUACACUGAAAUCCCGAGAUUAUAGAUUAGUGAUAUACCCCUACAUAAUAACACGACAUAUUGAUUCACGAUCUAAUUCAGUCAUUUUUUUCAUUUAUGUUUUUGGUUUCUCUCUCUCUGAAAAACUAAAUGAAAAUCGUGCAAAAUCAAACCUAAAAUUGAGUUGUUGAUUGUGUUAGAACAUCAACAAGAUCAAUUUAGAGGAGAAAAUCAAAAAACGAAAAAUCAAAAAGCUGAAAAAUUAGGGUUUACAAAUCAAUUUUAGUGUAUUGAUCCGUUGUUGAAUUAACGGUCUUCUUCGACAACAAAUGUUUGAAGAUUCAAAAUCGAAGAUAAGAAACUUUGAUGAUAGGAGGUGGAUAUGGUGGUUGGAGACAAGAAAACGGUGGAUAUGGUGGUGCUGAUGGUAGAGAAGUCGGUGGAUACAGUGGAAUUGAAAAAUCCACUUGAGGUGAUUCGUAUGUAUUCAUUAGUGUAUUGAUCCGUUUUUAAUUCAUUUGAUGUUAAUUUUUAUGAGGUUUCCUCCUAUGUUUAAUUAGCUGUUGCUGGAAUUUUUUUGAGCUAUACAAUAAUAUAACUUCAACUUCCUUGAAAUCCUGGAAACAGAAUCGUGGGGAAACAUGUUGAACAUUAUACUGGGUUUUGUCCGCGUUGCAGGUAUAAAAUUGUCAGAUUUUAGUUUAUGUGGGAUUGACAUUGUAUGAGGCACUUGGAUUGUGUAUAGGAACGAAAGUAACUGCAUCUUUAGGAACAUAUAGGGACACAAAAUGGAGGGCCUACCAGCUACUUUUGUAUAUUUUUGUUGGUUUAUUUGCGUCUGUUGUGCUGGUGGGGGUAAUAAUCCAUAUAUCAUAAUACAUCUUUAUUGUUGGGCAAUACUUGUUUUUGUUGCUGCAGUGGUACUUGAGAGAAGUCAUUGAGUUUUUGUUGCUAUACUUCUUGUUGAGUAGGUGAAAGUGAAACUGAAUUUUCAUACAGAAGAGGUAUACCACAAGUAUCAUUUGAUGUGGAUGAGAAAAUGGGUAUAAUCACAUUAGCAAUUUCUGUUGGUGUUGUAGUACUAGUAGUGCAGGAGUCAUGAUGGAGCAGUCUUGACGAGUAUUUAAUGGCAACGUUGAUGAUGUUGCUGCCAAGAAAAACAGUAGUUUAUGGUUUGUUAAAUACUAUACAUUCUCCUUAAUAAUUAGUACAGUAAUUUGUUCGUCAUAAUUGUACCGCAUGGUAUUUUGGUUUAGUAAUUUCUUUUCCUUGAGUAGUGUGAAAUUGAACCGAUCCUGUGGUGCAAUGGUAGCACAACUGACUCCAUGUCAAAAAAUGCGUGUUCGAUUCACGUCAGGUUCACUAAUUUUUGUACAUCAAUUUUUUGGGAUCAACAUUGGUUGUUGAUACCAUAUUUUGGGGUCAAUUUUGGUUGUUGAUACCAUAUUUUUGGAUCAACAUUGAUUAUUGAUAUCAUAAAUAAUUUGAACGUUUUAUGAAUUUUUGAUUUUGGGGAUCAACUUUGGUUAUUGACAGUAUAUUAUCUAUUAUUUUAUUUUUGAUUUUUGUUUUGGGAUCAACUUCGGUUGUUGACACCAUUUUUAUGAAUUUUUUGUUUUGGGAUCAACUUCGGUU